CACAAGCCUCGAUAACAUUCCGUCGCUUGCAACCUCCGGUACUGAAAUCCUUCCGGCGACGUCAUGAGGGCUAAGUGGAAGAAGAAGAGGAUGAGGAGAUUGAAGAGGAAGCGUCGAAAGAUGAGGCAGAGAUCCAAGUAGAUCGAUGAAAGCUUUUGAACUGAAUCUUCUAUCUCGCGUCUCCCGAUGCCGUAUUGUUUGGUUUAUGCUCUAUAGUUUUUGUUCGAAUCAUUGUCCAUUUGUUUUCAGUUGUUAUUCCGGUACUUGAUCAUACAUUUGCUUAAUGAGUUUUUAUCAUCAUCUCCAAACAUUUGAAGUUGACGUCUAUUUUACAGCAUUCAGUGAAACGGAUCGGUUCAGUAGUAUUA